rnacentral:sRNA from 1 species
UAUGCACCUCGUUAGGUGAGGCGUCUACACGAAUACAGGCCACUGACCCCGAACGUCGAAAGACGCCCCGGGUCAGGACAGCUCCUCCCGGCUUAAGGGUUGAGCCCAGGUGGCUUCCGAUUGCGGACACGUCGUGUGGUGCCAAAUCUCUGACGAGAGGGGUGCACG